AUCCAACAAAUGAGUCCCAAAUAGGACGAAACGCACGUCCUGGAU
rnacentral:hammerhead_ribozyme from 1 species